rnacentral:rRNA from 1 species
GAUGAACGCUGGCGGCGUGCCUAAUACAUGCAAGUCGAGCGAACGGACGAGAAGCUUGCUUCUCUGAUGUUAGCGGCGGACGGGUGAGUAACACGUGGAUAACCUACCUAUAAGACUGGGAUAACUUCGGGAAACCGGAGCUAAUACCGGAUAAUAUUUUGAACCGCAUGGUUCAAAAGUGAAAGACGGUCUUGCUGUCACUUAUAGAUGGAUCCGCGCUGCAUUAGCUAGUUGGUAAGGUAACGGCUUACCAAGGCAACGAUGCAUAGCCGACCUGAGAGGGUGAUCGGCCACACUGGAACUGAGACACGGUCCAGACUCCUACGGGAGGCAGCAGUAGGGAAUCUUCCUCAAUGGGCGAAAGCCUGACGGAGCAACGCCGCGUGAGUGAUGAAGGUCUUCGGAUCGUAAAACUCUGUUAUUAGGGAAGAACAUAUGUGUAAGUAACUGUGCACAUCUUGACGGUACCUAAUCAGAAAGCCACGGCUAACUACGU